UACGAGAGGCCCAAACGUUCUUCGGAUUUACUGGGCUUAAAGAGUUCGUAGGCGGCUUGGAAAGUGGGGUGUGAAAGCCCUCGGCUUAACCGAGGAAUUGCGCUCCAAACUACCGAGCUUGAGUAGGCUAGAGGUGAGCAGAACUGAUGGUGGAGCGGUGAAAUGCGUAGAUAUCUGGAGGAACACCGGGGGCGAAGGCGGCAUCCUGGACCAACACCGACGCUGAGUGAGCGAAAGCCAGGGGAGCAAACGGG
rnacentral:rRNA from 1 species